rnacentral:rRNA from 1 species
CCUACGGGUGGCAGCAGUGAGGAAUAUUGGUCAAUGGACGGGAGUCUGAACCAGCCAUGCCGCGUGAGGGAGGAAGGUACUGAGUGUCGUAAACCUCUUUUGUACGGGAGCAAAUCCUGAGACGCGUCCCCGGAUGAAUGUACCUUAAGAAUAAGCAUCGGCUAACUCCGUGCCAGCAGCCGCGGUAAUACGGAGGAUGCAAGCGUUAUCCGGAUUUAUUGGGUUUAAAGGGUGCGGAGGCGGUUCGUUAAGUUAGCGGUGAAAUCCCGGGGCUCAACGCCGGCACUGCCGUUGAUACUGUCAGUCGAGAGUUGAGGUGCAGUAGGCGGAAUGUGUGGUGUAGCGGUGAAAUGCAUAGAGAU